rnacentral:lncRNA from 1 species
GUCCACUGCAGCCACAUGGGGAGGACACAGCCUGGUCCAGGACCUUUCCAUCAAUUUAAUUCCAAUAGAAUCCAGCCUCUUUCUUUGUAUGAUUUUGAAGGUAGAGUUGGUUUUGUCUUCUUGCUUACUGCCUCCUUUCGCUUGUUUAAAUAUUUACCUUACAUUUUCCCUACUCUGACUAGGGGAGACAUUUUGCUAACUUAAAAUAGUUGAGCGACAUUGUCCUCCACAGUCCCUUCUGGAGAUGUGAAUUUCCUUCAAACCUCUGAGAUUGGGGUUUAAGCCAUCUCUUCUGGAAUUCUCUCAUGGGGAGAUAAUUGAGUUCAACCGUUCCUUCAUACCAGGACCAGGUACCAGUUGUUAAAGAAUUAUGGAAAGCUAUUCCAGAGAACAUGUUGCCCACUUUUAGAUAUCUGCCUGAGCUCCACAGAUUCAGCCAGAGUCCAUUUAUACAAUGCUAAAUGAGAGUUUCCCACAUACAGGGAACUCUAACAUCUCCAGAUAAAUAGCUCUGCAAGGAGAAAAUGCAAAUUAUGACUUAAAGUCAGCCUCUACUUUUGUGCAGUGCAUACCAAUGUGGCUUUACCCUUUAGCUAGAGCAAUGGAGCUACUACUUCUUUUAUGCAGAUAGAUGCCCUGCAUGAGUUUGUUUCCUGAGACUGUUGGAAAAAUAAAUAGACUAUUAGCUACUUGGUUUCCUCUUUAGAAACCCAGCAGGCACAACAGGGAGAGACAUUAGUCUUUAAGCACCAGUUCUACGAAACAACCACACCAUAGAGCACUUGGAGCGGAACUGAAAAAGGUUAAAACAAGUCCAGAGAAAGGGUGUGGGCAGUCAGAUAGUUUAGCAGACGCUAAGCUUGUGCCAGGGACUUUUAUAAUCAAGGCUUUUGCAAUAGUGAUUUUGUAACAAGUAAAGAAUCCACACACAUGAGGAGGAAGUGUAAGAAAUCAAUUAAAACUUCAGAGAAUGAAACGUGGAAGGCAUAAAGCACCACACACUAAGAGACAAGGGGAAGAAUUAGUCACAGAAAUAAUCAUGAGGAAAGUGCAAUUGUGGGAUCAUACAAGCUGAGGAUGCCUAGAGGGAUCCCUGGAUGUCUGUGAGCUGUAAGGCUCAAGUGGAUUCCUGCAGUGCUCAGCAAGCCUCGCCAGGCCCCAUGUGCACAGGUGUGGGGGUCUUGCUCUGUCAUCCAAGCUGGAGUGCAGUGGUACAAUCACGGCUCACUGCAACCUGGACCUCCAGUGCUCAAGCAAUUCUCCCACCUAAGCCUCCUGAGUAGCCAGGACUACAGGUGUGUGCCACCACGCCCAGCUAAUUUUCUUUUAUUUAUUUAUUUAUUUAUUUAUUUAUUUAUUUAUUUAUAGAUAGGGACUCACUAUGUUGCCCAGGCUGGUCUCAAACUCCUGGGCACAAGUGGUCCUCUGUCCUUGAUUGGCCUCCCAAAGAGUUGAGAUUAUAGGCAUGAGCCAUCAUGCCAGGCCAGACGUGUGUUGUUUUUAAGCUACCAAGUUCACAGAAAUUUGCUACUGCAGCAAUGGGAAACUAAUAGAACGGGAAAGAGACACAGAGAUGUUUUACUGAAGAAGGUAUACAGACAGAAAUAAGCCCAUGAAAAUAUGUACACUUUCUUUUUCUUUUCUUUUCUUUUUUUUUUUUUUUUGAGAUGGAGAUUCACUCUUGUUGCCCAGGCUGAAGUGCAUGAUCUCAGCUCACUGCAACCUCUGCCUCUCAGGCUCAAGCGAUUCGCCUGUCUCAGCAUCCCAGGUAGCUGGGAUUACAGGCAUGUGCCACCAUGCCCGGCUAAUUUUGUAUUUUUAGUGGACACGGGGUUUCUCCAUGUUGGUCAGUCUGGUCUUGAACUCCAGACCUCAGGUGAUCCGCCCACGUUAGCCUCCCAAAGCACUGGGAUUACAGACAUGAGCCACCGUGCCUGGCCAAAAACAUGUACAUUUUCAUUAGCCAUUAGGGAAAUGAAAAAUAAAAACCACAAUGGGAUCUCACCACACACCCAUCAGCAUGGCUAAAAUAAAAAGUAGUGACAGCAUCAAAUGCCAGUUAGAAUGUAGAGAAACCAGAUCACUCACACAUUGCUGGUGGGAAUGUAAUGGUGCAGCCAUUCUAGAAAACUUCGGGAGUUUCUUUAAAAAACUAAACGUGCAACUACCAUAUCAUCCAGAAAUUGCACCCUGGGACAUUUGUCCUAGAGAAAUGAAGACUUAUCUUAUGUUCCUACAAAAACCUGCACAUGAAUAUUUACAGCAACUUCAUUCGUAAUAGCCCAAGAACUGGAAACAACCCCCGUGUCCUUCAACAAGUCGGUAAAUGAUUAAGCAGACUGGUUCAUCCAUACCAUGAAAUACUACUCAGCCAUGAGAAGAAACAGCCUUGAUACACAAAGCAACCUGGAUAAAUCUCCAGAGAAUUAUCCGGAGUGGAAAAAGCCAAUCCCCAAAGGCUGCUACACAGUCCGUGACUGCAUUAGUUUAACAUUCUUAACAUGACAAAAUUAUAGAGAUGGAGAACAGGUUGGUGGUUGGCAGGAGUUAAGGAGGAGGAGAGGGCAUUGACAAGGGAAGGAAAUGGGUAUGUCUAUAAAAAGGCAACUUGAGGACCCCUUGUGAUGAUGGAAAUGUUCUGUUUCUUAGCUGUAUCAAUGCCAGGGUCUUGGCUGUGAUACCGUACUGCAGUUUUGCAAGAUGUUACUAUCGGGGGAAAUUAGGUAAAGUGUUCAUGGGAUCUCUGCAUUAUUUCUUACAACUGCAUAUGAAUCCACGAUGAUCUCAAAAUAAGAAGUUUAAAACCACAAAUGUGGGGAGGAGAGAGGCAGAAGUGUUUGAAAAGGCUAGAAAUUAUCAAACAACAAUUUUAAAGUUCUAUUCAUAAACAAAGUAGAACUAUUUGAUUUCCCAUUGUAAAUAGAAAAUGUGAUUUUACAUGCCCAGUACAACAUAUAUGCUUAAUAAAUAUUUGUUGGAAAGAUGGUGGUGGGGGUGGAUGGAUGGAAAGCGAAUAGCUGCAAAUCCUGUCAGCAGGCAGUGUAGGGGCAGAGAGAGGAUGAAGGAAAAAGAAAAGACAAAGAGAUAAAGAAGGAGGAGGAAGGGGGAAAAAGAGCAGAAGAAGAGAAAUAAGAAGAGAGAAAGGAGGAAAUGAAGGGGAAAAGGAGGAAGAGGAAGAAGGGGAGGAAGGGGGAGGAAGAGGAAGAGAAAGAGAAGUCAGGGGAGAUGAGAAGCAUGGUGCUUUGUGGCAUAUUGACGGUGGGCAAGGCUGUGGAUUUUUCUGAGCAGCCUUGGUGUGGAGAAAAGACCUCCCAGGGUGCAUGGCGCCCGCAGACACCCUGGCUAGGCUGCCCCUUGUUGGGUGGAACUGCUCCCUCCCUCUUUGCUGGGCACCUACUUUGUCCCCUGGUGGGUGGCUCCUGUAUGGGUGAGGUAUUCCAGCUCUCUGGGCCCUUUCCUUCUCACCCUGUAUCGGCACAGCUCCAGCACCAGGUCAUGGUCACAGACAGUCAGAAUGUGCUGAUGGAAUUUUCCUGUUGAUUUAAGCUAGUGAGACCUUGCUUGUCCUGGAAAAACUGGACAUGAGAGAGGUAGGGGGAACAGGAAUUGCUUUCCAAGAAUCUCCCUCAUAUGGGGUGCUCUGAAGGCCUCUUUUGUCAUCUCCUUCUCCUUGGGAAGGGGUUCCUGGAAAGGUGCUGGUGCAGGAGGGCACUGGUGCAGGUAGCAGCUGGUGCAGGUGGGCGCUGGUGCAGGUGGGAGCUGGUGCAGUGCUGGACUUGUGUUCCCUGGAGACAGGGCCAUGAUCUUCUCUCCCAUGUGUCAAAUCAGACAAUGGACACUGAAACACUGCGCUGGGGCCUCAGGAGGAGGAUGAGGAACAGGAUAGGGGGACACCCACCUCUCUCUGCCCAGGACGACUCAGGGGUGUGCCUCCUAGCAGCUGUGAAAACACUAAAGGAUUUACAACAUUCCCGCUUAUGUGGGAUUUGGAUUCAUUUCCACAGCUCUACCUAUGAGUAAGAGAAUCUAUUCAGCAACAUGACAUCACGGAAUGGCAAGAGUGACAGCUGCAGAGACUGGAGUACAAUGGUGUGAUCUCAGCUCAACGCAACCUCCACCUCCUGGGUUCAAGUGAUUCUCGUGCCUCAGCCUCCUGAGUAGCUUGGAUUACAGGCCUCUGCCACCACACCUGGCUAAUUUUGUAUUUUUAGUAGAGGUGGGGUUUCUCCAUGUUGGUCAGGCUGGUCUUGAACUCCCGACCUCAAGUGAUCUGCCUACCUCAAACUCCCAAAGUGCUGGGAUUACAGGCGUGAGCCACCGCGCCCAGCCAGAAGGAGCACUUUCUAAACAAGCUAGAAAUCCCAGAAGCCAUCAACAAAGGGGGAGAUAUAUGUUGACUACAUGAAAAUUAAACAUUUUAUAAGAGAAGGAUCCAUGAGCAAAAUCAAAGAGCAAACAACAGACUAGGAAAUGUAUUUCCAACACACAAUCAAUCUCUUAAACCAUUGAAAAACUAUGAAUUAAUUAUACUUUUAAAAGAUAAAUUUAAAUUGUAGCAAGAAAAUGCUAAAGGACUAUGAGCUGCUAAUUUGCAGAAGAAGCAAUCCAAGCACCCAGAAAACACAUGAAAGGAGACUCAGAGAACAGAAAUUCAACAAAUGAGGCAACAGGGCCACCUAAGGUUUUAGGGUGACCAACUUGUCCUUGUUUGCCCAGGAGUCUCCUAGUUUUGAAACUCCUUAGUCCUGGGCAAACUGAGAUGGUUGCCCUUGACAGAAGAAAGAAAAGCCUGAAUCAGGUAUUUGAACUUUGAAUGGACCAAGAGUGUACUCAAUGAGAUUGAGUUAACCCCAAAAGACUUAAACCCCAGAAAGAGACUAAGUGGACUUCAAUGAGCAGCUUUGUGUUUUCUUACCAUUAAGGGAUUAGGGGCUCCAGGAUGAGGUGGCAGCAAUUCUAGGCAGUAAAGAAAGUUACUGACAUGGCUGGAAAGUUUGUAUACAAAGGUGGUUUAGGGUCAUGUGGGGGCUGAAACCUAGCUCAUGCUCUGCUUGUCGAGCUGUGUGUCCUGGUGUGGGGCUGAGCCCGUCUGGACCAAGGGAUGCCCUUGACUCUGCACACAGGUGUGCAUGGGUUAGAGGGACCCUAGUGAUGGCCGUCCUGUCAUCUGGGCUUGGUAGAGCCCAGGCCCAAAGCAUGGUGACACUCAGAGGACACACUCCUGCAUGGUCCAAGGCAGUGUUUCAGGGAAGAAUCUGUCUGGGUGGAGGCCUGGUGGGCUGGAGGGCUUGGAGGUGUCUGUGAGGUUGCCCUGCAGGCCCUGACCUCUCAGAGAUUGUACUGAGGGAGUGCCAGUCCUCCUGGUUGUCUGACUGGCUGUGCCCCCACUGCCACCCUCUCAGCCUACAGCCUCUUGCUCUUCACUCAGCCAGCUCCACAGGAACCUUUUUACAUUCUGAGCUCAGCAGUUCUUCUUCCCCACAGCCAGGCCCCUGGCCCCCUCCUCCCUGUAGCCUUCCUUGCCUGGGCUCUGAGAACCUGCCCUGACUGCAGACUGGGGUCUUUGUUAAUCUAGAUGAGGGCCCGGGGGCUGAGCUUCAGGUCUCAGAAUGUGCUUUCUAAGGUGGCCACCUUGAGACCUCCCAUCCCAUAAGCUCUUCUUACAAUGUGUUGUUGACUUUCCUCCCAUUGAGAGGUGGGGGUGCCUUUGAAUUUGGGAGGGACUAUGUCAUACAACUAUGACAAAAGUGACUGUCUUCAUCUGUUUUCUAUUGUUAUAACAGAAUAACACAGACUUGGUGAUUUUUUUUUUUUUUGAGACAGGGUCUUGCUCUGUUGCCCAGACUGGAGUGCAGUGGUUUGAUCUCGACUCACUGCAACCUCCAUCUCCUGGGUUCAAGUGAUCCUCCCACUUUAGCCUCUGGAGUCACUGGGACUACUAUGUGCACAACACCACACCCAGCUAAUUUCUGUAUUUUUUGUAGAGAUGGGGUUUCACCGUGUUGUCCAGGCUGUUCUCAAACUCCUGGGCUCAAGUGAUGCACCCACCUCAGCAUCCCAAAGUGCUAGGAUUACAGACAUGAGCCACCACUGUGCCCACCCCAGACUGGGUGAUUUAUAAAGAAAAUAAGGGGUUUUUUUGGGCUCAUGGAGGCUGGGAAACCCAAGAGCAUGGCACUGGCAUCUGGUGAGGGCUUUCUUGCUGCAGCAUCUCGUGGUGGAAGGACAAGUGAACAUGACAGACAGAGAAUGGAGGCUAAACUUAAGCUUUUUAUCAGGAGUCUACUCCCAUGAUAACUAACCUGCUCCCACAAUAAUGGCCUGAAUGCAUUCAUUAGAAUGGUGUCCCUGUGACUUACUCACCUCUUAAAGGCUCCGUAUCUUAAUACUGUUACAGUGUCAAUUAAAUCUCAACAUGAGCUUAGUAGAGGUCAAACAUUCAAACUCCAGCAGUGACAUUAUGUGAGGCUCAUUCCUAAAAGGCAAUACAGCUUCUGCCUGGUUCUCUUGGGACACCUGCUCUUGGAAUCCAGCUACCAUGCUGUGAGGAAGCCCAAGCCUCCUGGAGAGGCCAUGUGUGGCUCUUCUGACUGAGCUGACAACCAGAUUGGUUAUGGAAACUUCUGAGAUGGCUCCAGCCCCAAUUAACCUCGAUUGUGUAAGAAACAUCUAGCUGAACCCAUUCAACCGCCAGAACUGUGAGAGGUGAUAAUAAAAAUAUUGCUCAUGUUUUAAGCCACCGUGUUUUGGGAUGAUUUGUAAACAGCAAUAGAUAAUUGGUGCCACAAUUCUGGCAGCAGAGCACUAAGACCAAAACCCUGUUAUAAGCUUCUGCUCUGAUCAUUUAACCCCUACCACUUUCCUGGGUGAUCAGCCAUUUGUUCAACUUGCAUUGGGUGAGCAUUCGCCUCAUGCCAGGCUCUGUGUCACACUGAGGGCCCAGUGAGGGGUGAACAAACAGACUUGGUGCUGGCAUUCAGAGAAGGGACAUCUGUUACUCGGGAGACCCUCAUUCCCCUUAUCUCAUGAAGUGAAGGGGAUCUGGUCCCACCUGGCUUCUUCCCUCUUCCUUUCCCUGCAGCCAGGCUGGGCCUGGAGUGUCCUAGCACAUGUCACUCUAGUGACUGAAUUCUGGACAUUAUUAUUGGCUUCCUGUGAGAACCGAAGCAGGGGCCCUUGAGGGAUAAGAUCAGAUGAACAGGUUUAAACCAAAAGGGAGACAAAGCCACCCCAAACUGAGAGGCAGGAUGGAGUACAGGGAGACGUCCAGAAAGCAGGGACCUAAUCUAGGAUGGGGAGAUUUGAAAGACAGGAAGGAGGGUCUGUGCUGGUGGUUGGCAUUGUUGGGGCGCCAAGGGGGUCACUCAGGGUGGUGUCUCUCAUGUGGCCUUUGGUUCUUUCUCCAGAGAAGCACUCAGGCGAGGAGGCUGGGUCAUGUUUCAGGGUUGUUAAAAAUACAGCAGUAACUCACUGAGUGCCGCCUUCUAUGGGGUUGGCCUGGGGAGCUGUAAAGUAUAAAGGGAAACCUCUUCCCCAGGUGCAAGGACCUGCUGCUGGCAGUUGAUGGAGCAACUGUGGGAGUGGUGAUUGGCUGCUUUGAGGAGGCCCAAGAAGUGAGCUGCCACCUCACAACUCCAGGGGCUGGGCAAGGAUGAGAGAGUCUCAGAUUCAUUGCUGGGGCUUGGAGUCUAAGGGGCAUGGAGGGAUGUAGUAGUCAGCUAGAGCUGCCAUAAUAAAGCACCAGAAACAGGAUGGCUUACACAACAGAAAUGUAUUUUCUCAUCGUUCUGCAGACCAGAAGUCCAAGAUCAAGGGGUCAGCAGGAUUGUUCCUCCUGAGGGUUAGGAGGGAGAAUCUGCUCUAGGCCUCUCUCCUGGUUUCUAGUGUUUGCCAGCAAUCUUUGCCAUUUCUUGGUUUGUAAAAGCAUCACCUGAUUUCUGCCUUGGUCUUCAGGUGAUGUUCUCCCUGUCUGCAUGUUUGUGUCUAAAUUUCCCCUUUUUAUAAGGACAUCAGUCAUAUUGGAUUAGGACUCACCCUUCUCCAGUAUUACUGCAUCUUAACUUGAUUACUUCUGUAAAGAUUUCUUCUCCAAGUGAAGUCACAUUCUGAGGUACUGGUUAGGACUCCAGUGUAUGGCUUUGAAGGGACACAAUUCACCCAUAACAUGAGACGAUAAUGUCAACCAGGCACCUAGUUCUAUAGCUGACUUCUUGAUCUCAGGUAAUGUGCUCAACAACUCUGUGAUAAAAAUACUAUACAUUUUUUUCUAAUUAUUUAUUAUAAAAUUUUAAAAACAUACAGCAGUCACUACUAAAAAUACAAAAAAUUAGCUGGGUGUGGUGGUGGGUGUCUGUAGUCCCAGCUACUCGGGAGGCUGAGGCAGGAGAAUGGCGUGAAUCUGGGAGACAGAGCUUGCAGUGAGCUGAGAUUGCACCACUGCACUCCAGCCUGGGCGACAGAGCAAGACUCUGUCUCAAAAAAAAAAAACAAAAAAAACCCAAACAUACAGCAAAGCUGAAAGAAUUUUACAGUGAGCACCCUUCCCAUAUGCCCACUAGCUACAUUCUACUAUUGACAUUUUACCUUAUUUGCCUUGUCACAUAAUCUGUCCAUCUAUUCAUCCUCAAUCCACCCAUUAAUCCACCUUAUUUUCUGGUGCAUUUCAAAGUAAAUUGCAAACAUCAAUACGUUUUUCCCUAAAGUUAGCAGUCAAUCAUUAACUAGAGUUCAAUAUUUUCUUUACAGAUUUUUCUUCUGAGGUACAAUGAAGUGCUCAAAUCUUAAGUAUACAUUUAUUGAGUUUUAAGGAAAGCAAACAGCUGUGUAAUCCAAAUGCCUAGCAAGAUAUAGAACAUUACCAUCACCAUGGAAAUUUCCCUCAUGUCCUUUCCCAAUCUCUGCCUCCACCCCUCAGAGGCAACCACCAGUCGAUUUUUCCACUGUAGCUUAGUUUUGCCUGUUCUAGAACUUCAUAAAAAGUGGAAUCAGAUGCAAUUUACUCAUUCAUUUAAGGCUUCUUCCACUGAUCGUCAUGUUGUCAAGCUUCAUCCGUGCUGAAUGAAUGUUGUAGUGUGUAUCUGUAAUUCAUUGCUCCUUAUUGCUGAGUAGUAUCUCAUUGUAUGGACGUGCCACACUUCUCCUGAUGAGCCUCUGGGCUGUUUUCAGCUCUCGGCUACUGCAAAUAAGUAUGUAUUUGCAUCUCCAUUUUAGGGAUAACGAAGUGAUGCUCAGGAAGUUUAAGUGGCUUGUUGAAGGUCAUAUGGGUCAUGAGGGGCAGAACCAAGAUUUGAACUCAGCCAGAUUGGUCAGAUGCCAGAGCCUAAAGCAUUUUCUUUUUAAUUCCUUUGUGAUAUGUUUGCUUUCCGUGGUGUGGGGUGGCCUGGGAAGUAAAGUAUACCAUGGGAUGUGUAUUUUACCUUCAUCUGACUGAUUUGCAUUAUAGUCAGGCAGUCUGCAAUUGCAAGAGUGGUUUUGAGUCCCUGCUUCACCAUUUACCAGCCGUGUGACCCUGGGCACAUGACUAAACUUGCUUCUGUCUCUGCUUCCUGAUCUGUACAAUGGGGAGAUAACAGCAUACAUAGGGUUGUUGUGAGGGUUAAAUAACGAAUUAAUAUAUGAAAGCCCAGUGACUGUGCCAGGCAUAUGGUAAGUGCCAUAUGAAUGUGAGAUAUUUGACAAUUAUCUCUUGAGCACUAUCUCCAGGCCACAUCCAUGUGCUAAGUAUACAAGGAUGACUAACGCAUUGUAUCGGGCCCACCUUGUCUGCACCUUUCAUCCUCUGGAUAGAUCCCUCUUUUCCUGUGGCCAUUGGUGAGGCCAUCAGCUUCAAGCAGGUAUACCUGUCGGCAUCUUGCCUUGUUGUUCCCUCCUCUCUAUGAGGAACUGCCAUACCCUUCUCCACCGCGGCUGCGCCACUUCACAUCCCAGCAACAGUGCACAGGGGUUCCAGUGUCUCCACAUGCUUGCCAACAUGUCUCCCUCCUUUCCUCCCUCAUUCCCUCCCUCCCUUCCUUCCUUCCUUCUUUCUUUCCUUCCUU